rnacentral:rRNA from 1 species
CGUCCCCACCCUUUGUGUACCUACCUCUGUUGCUUUGGCGGGCCGCGGUCCUCCGCGGCCGCCCCCCUCCCCGGGGGGGUGGCCAGCGCCCGCCAGAGGACCAUCAAACUCCAGUCAGUAAACGAUGCAGUCUGAAAAACAUUUAAUAAACUAAAACUUUCAACAACGGAUCUCUUGGUUCUGGCAUCGAUGAAGAACGCAGCGAAAUGCGAUAAGUAAUGUGAAUUGCAGAAUUCAGUGAAUCAUCGAAUCUUUGAACGCACAUUGCGCCCUUUGGUAUUCCGAAGGGCAUGCCUGUUCGAGCGUCAUUACAACCCUCAAGCUCUGCUUGGUAUUGGGCACCGUCCUUUGCGGGCGCGCCUCAAAGACCUCGGCGGUGGCGUCUUGCCUCAAGCGUAGUAGAACAUACAUCUCGCUUCGGAGCGCAGGGCGUCGCCCGCCGGACGAACCUUCUGAACUUUUCUCAAGGUUGACCUCGGAUCAGGUAGGGAUACCCGCUGAACUUAAGCAUAUCAAUAAGCGGAGGA